rnacentral:rRNA from 1 species
UAUUCUUGACAACAGUAUCUUGACUCUCCCAUCGAUGAAGAACAUAGCGAAAUAUUAUAUUUAGUGUGAAUUACAGAAUUUCGUAAAUUAUCGAUUUUUUAAACACAAAUUACGAUCAAAGUCAUUAGAUCGAGGGCACGACUGCCUAGGCGUUA